rnacentral:rRNA from 1 species
GACGAACGCUGGCGGCGUGCCUAAUACAUGCAAGUAGGACGCAGUUGCGACCGGGUGAGUAACGCGUAGGUAACUACCUAUUAGAGGGGGCUAACUAUUGGAAACGAUAGCUAAUACCGCAUACUAGUAGAUGGACCUGCGUUGUAUUAGCUAGUAGGUAGGGUAAUGGCCUAACUAGGCAACGAUACAUAGCCGACCGUAGAGGGUGAUCGGCCACACUGGGACUGUGACACUGCCCAGACUCCGACGGGAGGCAGCAGUAGGGAAUCUUCGGGAAUGGAUGGAACCCUGACCGAGCAACGCCGCGUGAGUGAAGAAGUUGUUCGGAUCGUAAAGCUCUGUUGUUGAUGAAGCGGUACUGAACCAGAAAGGGACGGCUAACUACGUGCGAGCAGCCGCGGUAAUAC